rnacentral:rRNA from 1 species
AACGAACGCUGGCGGCAUGCCUAACACAUGCAAGUCGAACGAGACCUUCGGGUCUAGUGGCGCACGGGUGCGUAACGCGUGGGAACCUGCCCUUAGGUUCGGAAUAACUCCCCGAAAGGGGUGCUAAUACCGGAUAAUUUCUUCGGACCAAAGAUUUAUCGCCUUUGGAUGGGCCCGCGUUGGAUUAGCUGGUUGGUAGGGUAAAAGCCUACCAAGGCGACGAUCCAUAGCUGGUCUGAGAGGAUGAUCCGCCACACUGGGACUGAGACACGGCCCAGACUCCUACGGGAGGCAGCAGUGGGGAACAUUGGACACUGGGCGAGAGCCUGAUCCAGCAGUGCCGCGUGAGUGAUGAAGGCCUUAGGGUUGUAAAGCUCUUUUACCCGGGAUGAUAAUGCCAGUACCGGGAGAAUAAGCUCCGGCUACCUCCGU